rnacentral:rRNA from 1 species
UAAGGAAUAUUGCUCAAUGGGAGAAAUCCUGAAGCAGCAACGCCGCGUGGAGGAUGAAGGGUCUAUGACUUGUAAACUCCUGUAAAGAAGGAAAAAAUUCCCAUUUGAUGGGAGAUGAUGGUACUUCUGGAGUAAGCCCCGGCUAACUACGUGCCAGCAGCCGCGGUAAUACGUAGGGGGCAAGCGUUGUCCGGAUUUACUGGGUGUAAAGGGUGCUCAGGCGGAUUUGUAAGUCAGAGGUGAAAUCUUACAGCUUAACUGUGAAACUGCCUUUGAUACUGCAAGCCUAGAGUAUGGAAGAGAGUGAUGGAAUAUCUGGUGUAGCAGUGAAAUGCGUAGAUAUCAGAUAGAACACCUAUGGCGAAGGCAGUCACUUGGUCCAUUACUGACGCUAAAGCACGAAAGCGUGGGUAGCAAACA